GGGCCCCGGGGAGGCCGCGCUGGGGCCCGGCUCAAGGCUGCUCUCCUCUGCUGGUGCCCGGGACCCCGCGUUGAGGGUCACAGCUUAAAAAAACCCCCGUAGUUUAAAAGUGUCAGGUGCUGUUGGGGUUAUCCCGCCUCACAGAGAAAGGCUAAUCGGACGCGCAAAGUGUUUCACACGUUCAGCUGGAGCGGCCUCCGUACCGGCCUUUGCAAUGAGGAGUUUUGUUCUCCCCGAGUUGCAAACGCGCGUCUGUUUCUUCCGCGUUUCUCCCAGUGUAACUCACUACUGGCACCAACGGUAAAGGGCAUCAAGAAGUCUACUGAAGAGUCUACCAAAUGAUUCUUACAAAUUCCGAAAUCCUGGAAACAGUGUCCUGUACUGGGUAGCAUGAUGAAGGACGCUAAAGCUCCUCUCACCAUUCCUCUACUCUCAGCAUAUCAGUACGCCUUUCAAGAGCACUCAGUGCACACACUUCUUAUUAGCAAGCUACAGCACACAGAGAAAAGAAACAUGCUACCUUACCAGCAUUCCCAACUACAGAAAACGCUGAAUUGACCUUUGCAGCAAGAAAAUGCCAUCAUCUAUUCUUUUUUCUCCUUCUUUUCUUUUACUAAUGUGACAUAGCUAAACUCUUCAUGUAUUCAAGUGUUGAAAAAAGGUUUACAAUAUUUAGACCAUUUAAUUUUCCCCCACCAAGAAAGCAAGUCAUGCCUAAGCUUUGGCGUAAGAGAAGCUUUUUCUGUGAAUUCUGAUGGAAACUAAAGUUGCAACUGGAAGCUUAUCUUUUUCCUGAUACUAUGAAAUGCCUUUCAAGGCUGAGGGGUGUCUUCUAAAAAAAUAACGUUAUAAGGAAAUACUACCAAAAUGAUACUAAUCAGCAUAAAUAGACCACAUAAAGUAAGAUUUUAAAUAUCACAUUUACCUUGAUUUUAUUGUACAAAACUAAUUUCACAGUAAACAAGGCUAUAACUUGGUAGGUUGUGGAUGGGAAAGGUCCAUGUAACUUAAAUACUAACCUUUUGAGAUACCUUUGUGAUAAUGGGUAAUAAAUUGUUCCAAGAAGAAAUCUGCUGAACAUAGGCAAGACUUGCAAAUGCUUAUGGUCAAGGUGAUUUGUUUUAAAAAGGUCUUAAUGCACUUCCCUGAAACUGAAAUGGUUUAUAUAUUCUGUGUCUGCUGACAGCAGAAGCACAUAUAUAUACAUGCAGUAAGGAAGGUAUCAAAGUUUGCAUAAACAGUUUAAAUGAGAUGAUCAUGCUUAAAAACUGUUCAUAACUUAUUUUUUUCUUCAAGAAGGGAGUUUUUCCUGCCUGAAGGCUACAAGGUGUUGCUGUUAAAAACUCACUGCUAUUUUCACAGUUGAAAUACCUCUUUCCUUUAUUAGGGGACCAAGCAUUCACUUCCUCCAACUGUUGUAAGGUUUUUUUCAUCAUUUAUAAAAUACAAUGUUUUAGCCUUACUUUAUAGCUUUAAUAAUGCUAAGAGAUGCAUAAUAAUAGAAAUUGUGUGGAAAUAGGAUGACCGAACUUAACUGCAAGCAGACAAGACAAAAUAUAAAAGCUACAUAACACAAAGUUUAAAGGUUACAACUUAAAAUUUUAUGCUUUUAAAAUACCAUAAACAGUAGGUAUAUUGAGGAGAAAAUUAAACUCUAAGUGAUUUUAAAACUUCACUGAUAGUGAUUAAGGCAACAGUAGUUGCUUUAGAAACGUUUGCUGCAGUCUAAUGAAUAAAGUUAUUUCCAGUGUCAAUUAAAGUAUUUUAAAGAAAGAGAAUUCUCUAUAUAACACAUGACACGUUACAAUUUCUCCAGUUUACCUUAAGAGUUGCAUUUCUGUACUAUGCAUCUUCUGGUUCAUACGUUUCAACUUAAAACUUGGAGGCCACCUGACCACAGUGUGUACACCACAACAUGCUAAUGAAAACUCUAAGUAUUAAGAAUUUUUAGAGAUCUUACAUCAUCAGUGUCUUUGACUCGAAGAAUCUGUUCUCUUAGAUCCUGUAAAUCAUUAAAUGUGGACUGAGCUGUGAUGGAAUAUACUAAUGCAAAACCUUGUCCAUUUUUCAUGUAUAGAUCUCUCAUCGCUGUAAACUGUUCCUGUAAUUAAAAAAUGAAACAGAUGUUGCAUUCAAUUUGCAUUUUCCUUGCACAAACUGCUAUAAACUUCAGGUCACAAAUGGAUCACAA